GUGAAGCUGGAUUCGCUAGUAAUCGCGCAUCAGCCAUGGCGCGGUGAAUACGUUCCCGGGUCUUGUACACACCGCCCGUCAAGCCAUGGAAGCCGGGGGUGCCUGAAGUGUGCAGCCGCAAGGAGCGCCCUAAGGUAAAACCGGUGACUGGGGCUAAGUCGUAACAAGGUAAC
rnacentral:rRNA from 1 species